rnacentral:misc_RNA from 1 species
CACAAUUUGGCCGUAACAAGCCUUAACCCUUCUCUACGCGUACCUUAACAUUCUCCUUCGGCGUGGUAACACUCGUUGCGCGCCGUUGGUCAAACAAAACCCUUUUUGCAUCUAGUAUCUACCCGUUCUGAUAAAAAUACAAUCGUUA